GAGUAACGCGUGGAUGAUCUACCUAUGAGAUGGGGAUAACUAUUAGAAAUAGUAGCUAAUACCGAAUAAAGUCAAUUAAUUUGUUAAUUGAUGAAAGGAAGCCUUUAAAGCUUCGCUUGUAGAUGAGUCUGCGUCUUAUUAGCUAGUUGGUAGGGUAAAUGCCUACCAAGGCGAUGAUAAGUAACCGGCCUGAGAGGGUGAACGGUCACACUGGAACUGAGAUACGGUCCAGACUCCUACGGGAGGCAGCAGCUAAGAAUCUUCCGCAAUGGGCGAAAGCCUGACGGAGCGACACUGCGUGAAUGAAGAAGGUCGAAAGAUUGUAAAAUUCUUUUAUAAAUGAGGAAUAAGCUUUGUAGGAAAUGACAAAGUGAUGACGUUAAUUUAUGAAUAAGCCCCGGCUAAUUACGUGCCAGCAGCCGCGGUAAUACGUAAGGGGCGAGCGUUGUUCGGGAUUAUUGGGCGUAAAGGGUGAGUAGGCGGAUAUAUAAGUCUAUGCAUAAAAUACCACAGCUCAACUGUGGACCUAUGUUGGAAACUAUAUGUCUAGAGUCUGAUAGAGGAAGUUAGAAUUUCUGGUGUAAGGGUGGAAUCUGUUGAUAUCAGAAAGAAUACCGGAGGCGAAGGCGAACUUCUGGGUCAAGACUGACGCUGAGUCACGAAAGCGUAGGGAGCAAACAGGAUUAGAUACCCUGGUAGUCUACGCUGUAAACGAUGCACACUUGGUGUUAACUAAAAGUUAGUACCGAAGCUAACGUGUUAAGUGUGCCGCCUGGGGAGUAUGCUCGCAAGAGUGAAACUCAAAGGAAUUGACNGGGGGCCCGCACAAGCGGUGGAGCAUGUGGUUUAAUUCGAUGAUACGCGAGGAACCUUACCAGGGCUUGACAUAUAUAGGAUAUAGUUAGAGAUAAUUAUUCCCCGUUUGGGGUCUAUAUACAGGUGCUGCAUGGUUGUCGUCAGCUCGUGCUGUGAGGUGUUGGGUUAAGUCCCGCAACGAG
rnacentral:rRNA from 2 species